rnacentral:lncRNA from 1 species
UGUCGGGGUGUUCGGGGGCUGUUAGCUCCAGAACUGCAUAUAGGAUGUUGACGCAAUUUGUGCGAUUCCAUCUUUCGUCAUAUUAUUGGCGGAAAUGGAGAUUGAAUGUUUCCGGCGGCGUGUGUCGGAGGUUGUCGGGGUGUUCGGGGGCUGUUGGCUCCAGAACUGCGCAUAGGAUGUUGACGCAGUUUGUGUGGUGGAUGUGGUUAUGUCGGAGGGUUGGCUCCGGAACUGCGCAUGGGAUGUUGACGCGGUUGUCGGGGUGUUCGGGGGCACUUAGCUUUGUGUGGUAGAUGUGGUUUUCUAUGCGAUUCUCGGCCCAAGUGGUUUGGUUCCAUCUUUCGUCAUAUUAUUGGCUAUUAUUGGCGGAAAUGGAUAUUGAAUGUUUCCGGCGGCGUAUGUCGGAGAUUGUCGGGGUGUUCGGGGGCACUUAGCUCCAGUUGGUUCCAUCUUUCGUCAUAUUAUUGGCCGAAAUGGAGAUUGAAUGUUUCCGGCGGCGUAUGUCGGAGGUUGUCGGGGUGUUCGGGGGCUGUUAGCUCCAGAACUGCAUAUAGGAUGUUGACGCAAUUUGUGCGAUUGAUGUGGUUUUCUAUGCGAUUCUCGGCCCAA